CCCGCCCCCACAUGACCUCUAAAUGACCCCAGCUGACCUCAGAGCUGAUGAGGAUGGCGGUAGCUGUAUUUACAGGCCUUCGUUCCACAAGAUUUCAAUAGCUGGACCUGAAGCCAUGAAAAGCCACAGAUGCUCUUCUCAGAUUGGUUAAGGAGAUUUGGCAUCAUCUGAUCUUGAAGACUAAAACUGCACGGACGCUGCCGUUGAGAGCUUGUGCUCAGCCAGAAAAACACAAUGAGCAGACUUAAAAAGUCCCUCGUGGCCCACAGAGGAGCACGCCACUCCACAGGGAAGACUCAGUUUCUACUGGAACUUUCUGGAAAAGGCUUCUGAACCUCUGCAAAGUCACAAAGCGCCAACACUUAGAGUGUUAAUGUGCCAAUAACGGAUAGAUAAGUGGUCCAGCCUUCUCUCUGCAGUCCUCAGGGGAGACGUGCUGGGGAAACACUGCUCUCACAGAUGCCUCAGACACACUAUAUAGGCUCCUAUAUGCAUUUCGCAGCAAGCUGCACUGAGGGUGAACCCACUUCUGUCUGAGCACAGACUUAUGGGUAAUGGGGGCAUGUGUCAUGUGCUAACACAUUAAGACAGGGCUUUACUCUUCUCAUAGGAGCCAGGGAGAGAAAGACAGUCAGUGAUUAUGAGAGUGGGAAAGACAGAGUGAAAUGUGAAUACUACAUCUUUCACACAAAAAUGAAAUAGAUAAAAUGCACUUUUCAUAUGUUCAUAAUGAGAAUGUUAAAUGAGUUCAUCCUAAUAAAAUAACUUUAAUCUCAGCAUUUGGGGUUUUAGCUUUAAAAGGAAUUUAAAAGGGAUCAAC